rnacentral:tRNA from 1 species
GCCUGGGUGGCUCAGUGGUUGAGCAUCUGCCUCCAGCUCAGGGCGUGAUCCUGGAGACGUGGGGUCAAGUCCCACGUCGGGCU